UCUCUCUCUCACAUAAUAACGGCCGUCGGCCGACACGCCGCCCGCCGGUGGUCUAAUUCGCUGAACUCACGCCGGUCGCCGGUGCCGCGGUGGCCUAUUUCGCAAAACUCAAGCCACUGACGCAAAUCGCAGCUUUGUUCUUCAUGUGGCCAGUAUCACCACCAAGAAAAUUCCCAAGAGUAACUGAGACUUCUGCAGAAGGUAUGGAAGCGUUACGCCAUGCACACCCCUUAUGUUCAAACCAAGACGUCCUAGUGACCCACAUAUUCACUAGACUAAUGUGGGAGGAUGAGCUCAUGGUUGAGCAAACCUAUAAAAAAUGGAGGCUGUGGUGGAAACUCUGAUCUUAUGGUGGUGUUGUGUGGCUUAGCGAGCGUAGACAAACUGAGAAGUGGAUAUUGAAUGAUAUAAUCUACAACAAUGGGAGGGACCUCCAUGAUUGGCUCAACAAGGACAUGACGGUGUACUUUGAUGGGUUUCUCCUAUUAUUCAAGGAGGAUUGAAGAGGAAGAUAGUUGGAUUUUUUGCUUAUUUUUGGGUGGAUAGGUUAUGGUGGUCGUUUUUGCCUCUGUCAUAACUGUACUUAUGGGAGAAUGUACAGCCACGGGCUUUAUUUAGGGUGGUUGUCACUGCUAUGACAGUAUUAUUUUUGUUGUUGAUAUGCAUGCAGGCUCCAAAAAAACCUAAGUAUGUUGGUUAUGUAAUUAGUUGGAGCCUGCCAAAUUUUGUAUGAAUGCUAUAUAUGGGUUAUUUAUAGAUGAAAGUAUUUGAAGAUUCUAUAAUAUCAUGUUUCACCAUUCCUUGCACUUAAUUUAAUAUAUAAAUAAUAGUAUGGCAGAUUCUAUGGAACCAAAACCUUGCAUUAUUGUGCAUCAUGGUGGAGAAUGGUUUGUUAAUAGUGACAUUAGAUAAUAUGGUGGUCAAGUAAGUUUGUAUGAAAACUUACCCAAUAAUGUUGAUGCUUCAUAUGUAAAACAAAUCAUAGAGAACUUGGGUUACAAUGACAUUAUUAAGCUUCAUUUUGUUGAUCCUAGGAAAGACUUUAGUACAGGUAUUAGGUACUUGGGCUAUGCUAAGCAAAUAUUUGAUCUAUUUUUAGCACUGCUUUUACUAUACAAGCUUGUACAUAUAUGCACAGAACAUGCAAUAGUUAGGCCAUUUGGGAUGGGUAAUGAAAGGAGUGGAGGUGGGUCAAGUCAGCCUAGUGAAGGGUCAUUAGUGCAAUUGUUGUGUGUUGGAGAUGAGUCAUUGGUUCCUGAAAAUACUGGUCAUACUAGAAAUGAUACUUAUGUAGAUAUAGACUAUGAUACAAAAGGCACAGACGAGGAUGAUGAUGAAUUUGCACCUGCUAGAACCAAAGUGAGUGAUGACAAGAAAAAGCAACAAUCUUAUGAGGAAGAAAUAGAUAUCUUAAAGAGAGUAUCUGCAAGUAAGGGCUUGACUGAGAGUUUGUUUGGAGGUGACUUUGAAGGAGAUAGUGAUCUUGACAAUCCUAGUGAAGAUGAAGAUGAGGACUAUGGGUACUUAGAAGCUCCACCUUCAAGAAAAAAGACACACAGUUCUAGCAAAGGGGUAGAUGGAGAGGAUGUUGGAGUUGACUGUAAGUUUUUUGUAGGUCAACAAUUUGAAAAUGCAAAGACUUUUAGAAAAGCAUUAGUUGACUACUCAAUUGAGAUUGGGAGAGACCUACCAUUCAGUAGGAAUGACUGCAACAAGGUAGGGGGUAGAUGCAUCAACAAGGAUAGAGGAUGUCCUUGGAGAAUUUGGGCUUCAUUGGAGAAGGGGAAGAGAAACUUUAUGGUGAAAACCUUGGUGCCCAAUCACACUUGUGGAAGAGCCCCUAAAAACAUAAACAUGACAGCUUCAUGGAUUGCUAAAAAUUAUGAGAGUAGUUCAAAAUAAACCCUUACAUGAGGCUAAAAGAUAUAAUAGAGACAGUCUGGCUAGAGUAGGGGAUUAAGGUGAGCAGAGUUGUAGCAUACAGAGCUAGGAGGAGGGGGCAAAGUUUGAUUGUAGGCACUAGUAGAAUAAAUGUUACUUGCUGCGGUGGUAUUGCUGCGGUUUUAUCCAUACGCAGCAAUAUAUCACGUAAAAAGAAAAAGUAAAAUAUAAAAUAACGAUAUUGCUGCGGUUUCGGCCUAAAACCGCAGCAAUAUUUGUUAACGCAAAUUUUUUUUUUUUGAAAAAAGUUGACUAUUUGACCAGAUAUAUUGCUGCGGUUCUUGACAAAAACCGCAGCAAUAUAUUAAAAUAAUAUUAAAAAUAAUAUUUUAAUAUAUUGCUGCGGUUUUUAACAAAAACCGCAGCAAUAUUAAAAAAUAUUAUUCUAAAAUGCAUAUAAGGCGUAUCAAUUAGGGUUUGUUUUUCUUCCUUUACUAUCUCGUGCGCCUCUUUCCCAUUCAAAUCUCACUCUUUCUCUUUCCUCUCACUCUCAGCCGUCUCUCAUCUCCUCUCUCCUCACUCAUCCUCUCUCUCUCCUCUCUCCUCUCUCAUCCUCUCCCCUCUCACCUCUCACCUCCAUUUUCGAACUCCAUUUUCGAACUCCAUUUUCUUAACCUCGAGUGACUAACAACGGAGACUCCUUCAGUCACCUCAACACCUCAAUUUGGGCGCGACUCCUUCGGCCUCACUACCACACCAACUAUCGCCACCACACCGACAAACAACGAAACCACCAUCAACACCUCAAUGCCUACCUUUCUUCGCACAACUCGUUUUAAGAUUCAUUCCAAAAAAAACCCAACACUCGUUCGUGUUUUCAGAGGUUGAGCAAAUUUCACUUUUAGAUCUCAUGUUUUAAAAAAUUAGAAAAAGAAAAAGGAAACUAAGAAAUCACGACGUUGGAUUAUGGCGACAGUGAAGAGUUAUCGGUGCUGACAAGAUUCCAACGACGGUGAGAUAAGCCAUGGCGGCGAGCGUUCCUUGUGGAUCGUUUUCUGGUCGUUGCUGUUUUGUUCUUUUUUUCAUUUUUUCGUUUUAGAUAGAUUUUUUUCGUUUUUCGUUUUCCAGCGACUAUCUUGUGUGUUCUUGUUUUUCGUUGAUUUUUUAUUUUAUUCUUUUGUAAUAUUGAUGUAAUUACGUUUUAGAUAGAUUUUUUUUUCGUUUUUUUAAUAUGUUUAUUGCUGUUUUCUGUUUCGUUUUUUAGAUCUAUUUAUUGUGUUCUUGUUUUUCGUUGAUUUUUUAUUUUAUUCUUUUGUAAUAUUGAUGUGAUUAGAUUUCUCAUAUUUAUAUAUUAUUCACUGCGAAUUUAAUAGAUAGUAAAUGGGUGAGUUGUUGGUUUUAAUAUUCCAAAUUUUCUUUGGCAAAUGCAAAAAAAAAAAAAAAAUUUACCUUUAUCAGGACAUAUUGCUGCGAUUUUGGCUAAAAAUCGCAGCAAUAUUCUGAAUUUUUCUGAUAUAAAAUAAUAAUAUUGCUGCGGUUUUAGCAAAAAACCGUAGUAAUAUAUUGAAUUUUUUCGAUAUAAAAUAAUAAUAUUGCUGCGGUUUGCGUUAAAAACCGCAGCAAUAUGUUGAAAUAUUGCUACGGUUAAUAACCGCAUCAAUAUAUUAUUUACCUAUUGCUGCCCCCUUAAUUGCUGCGCGGCCAAAACCGCCGCAAUAGGCCAGUUAAUCACCGCAGCAAAUAGCAUUUAUUCUACUAGUGAGGGGAGUAUAUGGAGCAAUAUACCUUGCUGCCAAGGUAUGCUGCAGAGAUACAAAGAAGUAACCGGGCAAAUACAGUCAUAAUUAUGAUGGAUGGUAAUGUUUUUGAAAGAAUCUGCAUUUGUUUUGAGGCACUGUAAAAGGGGUUCUUAGCUGGAUGUAGGCCUUUUAUAUUUCUUGAUGGUUGUUUCUUAAAAAGGACCCUAUGGUGGACAACUUUUAGUUGUUGUUGGGAGAGAUGGGAAUAACCAAAUGUUCCCGAUUGCAUGGGCUGUAGUAGAGGUCGAAUCUACUUCUAGUUGGAGAUGGUUUUUAACACUUUUAGGGGAGGUUUUGAGAUCAAAUGAAGGUGUUGGUUACACUUUCAUGUCUGAUCAGCAGAAGGGUUUAUUGAGAGUUGUGUCAGAUGUGUUUCCACAAGUUGAGACUAGUUUAUAUGCUAGGCAUGUCUACUGUAACUUCAGAGGGGUGUUUGGUGGUGGUCUAUAGUAUAGGAAGCAGUUCUGGAUCAUAGCUAAGAGCACCACAUAAAAUGAAUUUCUAUGUAACAUAGAAGAGAUGAGGAAAAUAUCUACUGCAGCUGUUGAAGAUCUUCUAUAUAGGAACUACAAGAAAUGGUGUAAAGUCUUCUACACUCCUAUGUCUUGUUGUGAUAAUGUGGAUAACAAUAUGAGUGAGGUUUUCAAUGCCUACAUAUUGAACUUAAGGCAUAAACCUAUCAUAACUAUGUUGGAGGACAUUAGGGAGGGGUUAAUGGAGAGGCUUCACAAGAAGAGGGAUGAAAUAGGUAAGAAAGAGAUGUUAGUGUGUCCAAGAAUACAACAGCAAGUUGAGAAGCACAAGAUUUUUGCUAGGGGAUGGAAUGCAUUCUGGGAUGGGGGGUUCUGUUAUGGGGUGAGGGAAGGGGCAACACAAACAAAAUAUGUUGUCAAUUUGGAUGUCAGAACGUGCAGCUGUAAUGGAUGGCGACUAAGUGGGAUCCUUGCAAACAUGGAGUAGUUGCAAUUUGGAACAAAGCUGACCAACCAGAACAUUAUGUUAACCAAUUCUUCACAAAACAAGGGUAUUUGAAGGCAUAUGACUACUUGUUGGAGCCUCUAAAUGGAGCAGAAGAGUGGCCUAGUGCAGAAACUUUGGUCAUUGCACCAAAACUGAAGAAAGUGAAACAACAAGCGCCAAGUGAAGAGAAGGAAGGCAGUUGGAGAAGUUACAACUUCAGGGAAAUUGAGAAGAACAGGCUCAGUAAUGACAUGCAGCCUAUGUGGUCUUCAAGGGCAUAACAAGAGAGGUUGCAAGAAUGUACCUACAAAAUCUGUGCACAUAGGUGCAAGUGAGUCAAGUAGUAGCCGCCAGAGUGGGAGCACUAAUGCACCCAUGCACUAUAGAGGUGUAGGUGUAUACACCUACCCAAGUGGCUACCAAAGAGUUGCUACUCUCCAACCCCAACCACCACAGCAACCAACACCACAACAACCAACACCACAACAACCACCAAGUCAUACAACACCCCAACCAAUCAAUCACCCAAUCCCACAUACAACACAACAACCACAAAACCCACCCAUCCAAAGAAGAGUAGCAUAUUAUUCAGAUUAUGAGGGUAAGCAGACUAUAUAUUCAUUCAGCCAAGACCACUCAUUCAGUCAGUCACAACCAGAGAAGGGUUCACAAGUUUCACAAACAAUGACAAGCCAAGCCUUACAGGACCUAGCAAUGGCUCAAGGAUGCAAAGGCGACAAUAGUUUAAAGUUGCUUUGUACUUGAUUAAUUGAAGGUGAUGAAGUUGAUUUUUUUUGCUGCUGAUGAACAAUAUCGGAUUUUUUCGUGUUGUGGAAGUUGAUAUUUAUGUUGAUCCUGAUUUCUUUAGAGAUUGGAUUUUUUGGAUGUUCAAUUAUAUCUGUUCAUAUGGUUCCAUUUGAAAUGUAUAUCUGAUUUUAUCACCGUUGAAGAAUUUCGCUGUAUUUUUUGAAUUUUAGUAUACUGAAUUAACUGUCACUUUGUAAUUAUUACCACAUCACAUUUUUCUUUUAUUUUUGGGGCUGAUAACAGUACAAAUCAAAGUUCAGUACCUUAAGGUAACGGUCGUCCAUUUGAGUACCCUAACUGGAACU